AAUGAACGCUGGCGGCGUGCCUAAUACAUGCAAGUCGAGCGAACGGACGAUAAGCUUGCUUCUCUGAUGUUAGCGGCUGACGGGUGAGUAACACGUGGAUAACCUACCUAUAAGACUGGGAUAACUUCGGGAAACCGGAGCUAAUACCGGAUAAUAUUUUGAACCGCAUGGUUCAAAAGUGAAAGACGGUCUUGCUGUCACUUAUAGAUGGAUCCGCGCUGCAUUAGCUAGUUGGUAAGGUAACGGCUUACCAAGGCAACGAUGCAUAGCCGACCUGAGAGGGUGAUCGGCCACACUGGAACUGAGACACGGUCCAGACUCCUACGGGAGGCAGCAGGAGGGAAUCUUCCGCAAAGGGCGGAAGCCUGACGGAGCCACGCCGGGUGAGUGAUGAAGGUCUUCGGAUCGUAAAACUCUGUUAGUAGGGAAGAACAUAUGUGUAAGUAACUGCGCACAUCUUGACGGUACCUAAUCAGAAAGCCACGGCUAACUACGUG
rnacentral:rRNA from 1 species